rnacentral:rRNA from 1 species
AUAUUGGUCAAUGGACGCAAGUCUGAACCAGCCAUGCCGCGUGAAGGAUUAAGGCCCUCUGGGUUGUAAACUUCUUUUAUAGGGGAAGAAAUGUGACGGUUCUCCGUCACUUGACGGUACCCUGGGAAUAAGCACCGGCUAACUCCGUGCCAGCAGCCGCGGUAAUACGGAGGGUGCAAGCGUUAUCCGGAUUCACUGGGUUUAAAGGGUGCGUAGGUGGGCAGAUAAGUCAGUGGUGAAAUCUUCCGGCUUAACCGGGAAACUGCCGUUGAUACUAUUUGGCUUGAAUAUUGCGUAGGUAAGCGGAAUAUGUCAUGUAGCGGUGAAAUGCUUAGAUAGGACAUAGAACACCUAUUGCGAAGGCAGCUUACUACACAAUCAUUGACACUGAGGCACGAAAGCGUGGG